UACGGCGGACGGGUGAGUACACGUGGGCACCUGCCUAUAAGAACUGGGAUAACUUCGGGAAACCGGAAGCUAAUACCGGAUACGUUCUUUUCUCGCAUGAGAAGAAGAAUGGAAAGACGGUUUACGCUGUCACUUAUAGAUGGGCCCGCGGCGCAUUAGCUAGUUGGUGAGGUAAUGGCUCACCAAGGCGACGAUGCGUAGCCGAACCUGAGAGGGUGAUCGGCCACACUGGGACUGAGACACGGCCCAGACUCCUACGGGAGGCAGCAGUAGGGAAUCUUCCGCAAUGGACGAAAGUCUGACGGANCAACGCCGCGUGAACGAAGAAGGCCUUCGGGUCGUAAAGUUCUGUUGUUAGGGAAAAGACAAGUACCAGANGUAACUGCUGGUACCUUUGACGGUACCUAACCAGAAAGCCACGGCUAACUACGUGCCCAGCAGCCGCGGUAAUACGUAGGUGGCAAGCGUGNGA
rnacentral:rRNA from 2 species